UAGAGUUUGAUCCUGGCUCAGGAUGAACGCUGGCGGUAUGCCUAACACAUGCAAGUCGUACGAGAGUUUUUAACUCUAGUGGCGGACGGGUGAGUAACACGUGAGAAUUUGCCUUUAGGAGGGGGAUAACAAUUGGAAACGAAUGCUAAUACCCCAUAUGCUUUCGAGUGAAAUGGAUUUAUAUUUAUCCGCCUAGAGAGAAGCUCGCGGCUGAUUAGCUUGUUGGUAAGGUAAGAGCUUACCAAGGCGACGAUCAGUAUCUGGUUUGAGAGGACGAUCAGACACACUGGAACUGAGACACGGUCCAGACUCCUACGGGAGGCAGCAGUGGGGAAUUUUCCGCAAUGGGCGAAAGCCUGACGGAGCAAUACCGCGUGAGGGAAGACUGCCUAUGGGUUGUAAACCUCUUUUUUCAGGGAGGAAUCAAUGACGUGUACCUGAAGAAUAAGCAUCGGCUAACUCCGUGCCAGCAGCCGCGGUAAGACGGAGGAUGCAAGUGUUAUCCGGAAUCACUGGGCGUAAAGCGUCUGUAGGUGGUUUAAU
rnacentral:rRNA from 1 species